CACGUAGGGGGCGAGCGUUGUCCGGAUUUAUUGGGCGUAAAGAGCUCGUAGGCGGCUCAGUAAGUCGGGUGUGAAAACUCCAGGCUCAACCUGGAGACGCCACCCGAUACUGCUGUGGCUAGAGUCCGGUAGGGGAGCGUGGAAUUCCUGGUGUAGCGGUGAAAUGCGUAGAUAUCUGGAGGAACACCGGUGGCGAAGGCGGCAUCCUGGACCGGCAUUGACGCUGAGGCGCGAAAGCCAGGGGAGCAAACGGG
rnacentral:rRNA from 1 species